rnacentral:rRNA from 1 species
GAUGAACGCUAGCUACAGGCUUAACACAUGCAAGUCGAGGGGCAGCAUAAUCGAAGCUUGCUUUGAUUGAUGGCGACCGGCGCACGGGUGAGUAACGCGUAUCCAACCUUCCCCUUAGUAGAGAAUAGCCCGGCGAAAGUCGAAUUAAUACUCUAUGUUGUUCGUUGCGAGCAUUCAAGAUGAACCAAAGGUUUACCGCUAAGGGAUGGGGAUGCGUCUGAUUAGGUUGUUGGCGGGGUAACGGCCCACCAAGCCCACGAUCAGUAGGGGUUCUGAGAGGAAGGUCCCCCACAUUGGAACUGAGACACGGUCCAAACUCC